AAGGUAGCCAAAUGCCUCGUCAUCUAA
rnacentral:ncRNA from 7 species